UACGGAGGGGGCUAGCGUUGUUCGGAAUUACUGGGCGUAAAGCGCACGUAGGCGGCUUUGUAAGUUAGAGGUGAAAGCCCGGAGCUCAACUCCGGAACUGCCAUUGAAACUGUUAGACUUGAGGACGAGAGAGGUGAGUGGAAUUCCCAGUGUAGAGGUGAAAUUCGUAGAUAUUGGGAAGAACACCGGUGGCGAAGGCGGCUCACUGGCUCGUAUCUGACGCUCAGGCGCGACAGCGUGGGGAUCAAACAGG
rnacentral:rRNA from 1 species